AACGGCCAUACCAUGCUGAAUAUACCGGUUCUCGUUAGAUCACCGAAGUCAAGCAUCAUUGGUCGCGGUCAGUACUUGGGUGGGUGACCACCUGGGAACACCGCGUGCUGUUG
rnacentral:rRNA from 1 species